rnacentral:rRNA from 1 species
AGAGUUUGAUCCUGGCUCAGGAUGAACGCUAGCGGCAGGCCUAACACAUGCAAGUCGAGGGGUAGAGUUCUUCGGGACUUGAGACCGGCGCACGGGUGCGUAACGCGUAUGCAAUCUACCUUAUACAGGGGAAUAGCCCAGAGAAAUUUGGAUUAAUGCCCCAUAGUGUUAUCGAAUCGCAUGGUUUGAUAACUAAAGUUCCAACGGUAUAAGAUGAGCAUGCGUCCCAUUAGUUAGUUGGUAAGGUAACGGCUUACCAAGACAAUGAUGGGUAGGGGUCCUGAGAGGGAGAUCCCCCACACUGGUACUGAGACACGGACCAGACUCCUACGGGAGGCAGCAGUGAGGAAUAUUGGUCAAUGGGCGCAAGCCUGAACCAGCCAUGCCGCGUGCAGGAAGACGGUCCUAUGGAUUGUAAACUGCUUUUAUACAGGAAGAAACCCUCCCACGUGUGGGAGCUUGACGGUACUGUAGGAAUAAGGAUCGGCUAACUCCGUGCCAGCAGCCGCGGUAAUACGGAGGAUCCAAGCGUUAUCCGGAAUCAUUGGGUUUAAAGGGUCCGUAGGCGGCCUUAUAAGUCAGUGGUGAAAUCUCCUAGCUCAACUAGGAAACUGCCAUUGAUACUGUAAGGCUUGAAUUUUUGUGAAGUAACUAGAAUAUGUAGUGUAGCGGUGAAAUGCUUAGAUAUUACAUGGAAUACCAAUUGCGAAGGCAGGUUACUAACAAACGAUUGACGCUGAUGGACGAAAGCGUGGGGAGCGAACAGGAUUAGAUACCCUGGUAGUCCACGCCGUAAACGA